AUUGGACUACCGUGGCUUUUACGGGUAACGGAGGAUUAGGGUUCGAUUCCGGAGAGGGAGCCUGAGAAACGGCUACCACAUCUAAGGAAGGCAGCAGGCGCGUAAAUUACCCAAUUCUGAUUCAGAGAGGUAGUGACAAGAAAUAACGGGUCGGGAUUUUUUCCCGGGACUGCAAUGAGAUGAACUUAUACCCCUUUUCGAGUAACAAUUGGAGGGCAAGUCUGGUGCCAGCAGCCGCGGUAAUUCCAGCUCCAAUAGCGUAUAUUAAAGUUGUUGCAGUUAAAAAGCUCGUAGUUGGAUUUCUGGCAGGAUGUCGAUGCCCUCAUGAGAGUGCGCAACGGUGUCCUGCCAUCCUUCUGUUAACCCUGUAGGCCUUAAAAAGUUUACUGGGGGCUCAGAUAUUUUACCUUGAGAAAAUUAGAGUGUUUCAGGCAGGCUAGCGCCGGAAUACAUUAGCAUGGAAUAAUAGAAUAGGACUUAAGCCUCUUCUGUUGGUCUGAGGGG
rnacentral:rRNA from 1 species